rnacentral:rRNA from 1 species
UACGGGGGGUGCAAGCGUUGUUCGGAUUUACUGGGCGUAAAGGGCGCGUAGGCGGCGUGACAAGUCACUUGUGAAAUCUCCGGGCUUAACCCGGAGCGGCCAAGUGAUACUGUCGUGCUAGAGUGCGGAAGGGGCUACUGGAAUUCUCGGUGUAGCGGUGAAAUGCGUAGAUAUCGAGAGGAACACCUGCGGCGAAGGCGGGUAGCUGGGCCGACACUGACGCUGAGGCGCGAAAGCCAGGGGAGCGAACAGG